GACGAACGCUGGCGGCGUGCCUAAUACAUGCAAGUAGAACGCUGAAGAGAGGAGCUUGCUCUUCUUGGAUGAGUUGCGAACGGGUGAGUAACGCGUAGGUAACCUGCCUUGUAGCGGGGGAUAACUAUUGGAAACGAUAGCUAAUACCGCAUAACAAUGGAUGACACAUGUCAUUUAUUUGAAAGGGGCAAUUGCUCCACUACAAGAUGGACCUGCGUUGUAUUAGCUAGUAGGUGAGGUAAUGGCUCACCUAGGCGACGAUACAUAGCCGACCUGAGAGGGUGAUCGGCCACACUGGGACUGAGACACGGCCCAGACUCCUACGGGAGGCAGCAGUAGGGAAUCUUCGGCAAUGGGGGCAACCCUGACCGAGCAACGCCGCGUGAGUGAAGAAGGUUUUCGGAUCGUAAAGCUCUGUUGUAAGUCAAGAACGGGUGUGAGAGUGGAAAGUUCACACUGUGACGGUAGCUUACCAGAAAGGGACGGCUAACUACGUGCCAGCAGCCGCGGUAAUACGUAGGUCCCGAGCGUUGUCCGGAUUUAUUGGGCGUAAAGCGAGCGCAGGCGGUUUGAUAAGUCUGAAGUUAAAGGCUGUGGCUCAACCAUAGUUCGCUUUGGAAACUGUCAAAACUGAGUGCAGAAGGGGAGAGUGGAAUUCCAUGUGUAGCGGUGAAAUGCGUAGAUAUAUGGAGGAACACCGGUGGCGAAAGCGGCUCUCUGGUCUGUAACUGACGCUGAGGCUCGAAAGCGUGGGGAGCGAACAGGAUUAGAUACCCUGGUAGUCCACGCCGUAAACGAUGAGUGCUAGGUGUUGGAUCCUUUCCGGGAUUCAGUGCCGCAGCUAACGCAUUAAGCACUCCGCCUGGGGAGUACGACCGCAAGGUUGAAACUCAAAGGAAUUGACGGGGGCCCGCACAAGCGGUGGAGCAUGUGGUUUAAUUCGAAGCAACGCGAAGAACCUUACCAGGUCUUGACAUCCCGAUGCUAUUUCUAGAGAUAGAAAGUUACUUCGGUACAUCGGUGACAGGUGGUGCAUGGUUGUCGUCAGCUCGUGUCGUGAGAUGUUGGGUUAAGUCCCGCAACGAGCGCAACCCCUAUUGUUAGUUGCCAUCAUUCAGUUGGGCACUCUAGCGAGACUGCCGGUAAUAAACCGGAGGAAGGUGGGGAUGACGUCAAAUCAUCAUGCCCCUUAUGACCUGGGCUACACACGUGCCACAAUGGUUGGUACAACGAGUUGCGAGUCGGUGACGGCGAGCUAAUCUCUUAAAGCCAAUCUCAGUUCGGAUUGUAGGCUGCAACUCGCCUACAUGAAGUCGGAAUCGCUAGUAAUCGCGGAUCAGCACGCCGCGGUGAAUACGUUCCCGGGCCU
rnacentral:rRNA from 1 species